UUAAGCAUAUCAAUAAGCGGAGGAAAAGAAACCAACAGGGAUUGCCUCAGUAACGGCGAGUGAAGCGGCAAGAGCUCAAAUUUGAAAGCUGGCCCCUCCGGGGUCCGCGUUGUAAUUUGCAGAGGAUGCUUUGGGUGCGGCCCCCGUCUAAGUGCCCUGGAACGGGCCGUCAGAGAGGGUGAGAAUCCCGUCUUGGGCGGGGUGUCCGUGCCCGUGUAAAGCUCCUUCGACGAGUCGAGUUGUUUGGGAAUGCAGCUCUAAAUGGGUGGUAAAUUUCAUCUAAAGCUAAAUACUGGCCGGAGACCGAUAGCGCACAAGUAGAGUGAUCGAAAGAUGAAAAGCACUUUGAAAAGAGAGUUAAACAGCACGUGAAAUUGUUGAAAGGGAAGCGCUUGCGACCAGACUCGCCCGCGGGGUUCAGCCGGCAUUCGUGCCGGUGUACUUCCCCGUGGGCGGGCCAGCGUCGGUUUGGGCGGCCGGUCAAAGGCCCCUGGAAUGUAGUGCCCUCCGGGGCACCUUAUAGCCAGGGGUGCAAUGCGGCCAGCCCGGACCGAGGAACGCGCUUCGGCUCGGACGCUGGCAUAAUGGUCGCAAACGACC
rnacentral:rRNA from 1 species